UGUCUAUGCCAUACCACCCUGAAUGUGCCCAAUCUUGUCUGAUCUCAGAAGCUAAGCAGGGUUAGAACUUGGAUGGGAGACUACAUUUCUGCCUUCUGACUCAUAGAAAU
rnacentral:rRNA from 1 species